UACAGAGGGGGCUAGCGUUAUUCGGAAUUAUUGGGCGUAAAGGGCGCGUAGGCGGCUUUGCGUGUCUUCCGUGAAAUCCCUCGGCUUAACUGAGGACGUGCGGAAGAAACUGCAGGGCUCGAGUCCGGGAGAGGGGGGUGGAAUUCCCAGUGUAGCGGUGAAAUGCGUAGAUAUUGGGAGGAACACCGGUGGCGAAGGCGGCCCCCUGGACCGGUACUGACGCUGAGGUGCGAAAGCGUGGGGAGCAAACAGG
rnacentral:rRNA from 1 species